rnacentral:rRNA from 1 species
GAUGAACGCUAGCGGCAGGCCUAACACAUGCAAGUCGAGGGGUAACAUUGGUUGCUUGCAACCAGAUGACGACCGGCGCACGGGUGCGUAACGCGUAUACAAUCUGCCUUUUGCUGAGGGAUAGCCCAGGGAAACUUGGAUUAAUACCUCAUUGUAUCAUUAAUUCGCAUGGAUAUAUGAUUAAAGGUUACGGCAAAAGAUGAGUAUGCGUCCUAUUAGCUAGAUGGUAAGGUAACGGCUUACCAUGGCAACGAUAGGUAGGGGCCCUGAGAGGGGGAUCCCCCACACUGGUACUGAGACACGGACCAGACUCCUACGGGAGGCAGCAGUGAGGAAUAUUGGACAAUGGGCGCAAGCCUGAUCCAGCCAUGCCGCGUGCAGGAAGACUGCCCUAUGGGUUGUAAACUGCUUUUAUACGGGAAGAAACCCACCUACGUGUAGGUGGCUGACGGUACCGUAAGAAUAAGGAUCGGCUAACUCCG